CAAUAGCGUAUAUUAAAGUUGUUGCAGUUAAAAAGCUCGUAGUUGGAUUUCUGGCUUGUGCUGAUUGGGCCCGCCUCGCGGUGUGUGCCCGAUUGCCGGCCAUCUUUCUGCAGACGUUUCCUGUAAUUCAUUUUAUGGGUCUCUGCGAGCAGAUAUUUACCUUGAGGAAAUUAGAGUGUUUCAGGCAGGCUUGGCCGGAAUACAUUAGCAUGGAAUAAUAGAAGAGGACCCCGGCGUCAUUUGUUGGUUUGAGGCGUUGGAGUAAUGAUUAAUAGGGAUAGUUGGGGGCAUUAGUAUUUAAUUGUCAGAGGUGAAAUUCUCGGAUUUGUUAAAGACUAACUUAUGCGAAAGCAUUUGCCAAGGAUGUUUUCAUUAA
rnacentral:rRNA from 1 species